AACCGCCGGAUGCGGAAAACCGCAUGUCCGGUGGUGUGGGAGGGGUAACGGGCGCAAUCUCGUUGAGAGUGUAAAACAAUCCGUGU
rnacentral:autocatalytically_spliced_intron from 1 species